UUGCUUCGAGAUUUCGAUCAAGAAGCAGGUGGUGAGAGUGGCGAACGGGUGAGUAACGCGUGGGCAACCUACCCCUCAGUGGGGGAUAGCCCUCCGAAAGGAGGGGUAAUACCGCAUGUGGUGAUCCGGCUCAUGCCGGUGAAUCCAAAGGUGGGGAUCCUUCGGGACCUGCCGCUGAGGGAUGGGCCCGCGUCCCAUCAGCUUGUUGGUAGGGUGAUGGCCUACCAAGGCGAAGACGGGUAGCUGGUCUGAGAGGAUGGUCAGCCACACUGGGACUGAGACACUGCCCAGACUCCUACGGGAGGCUGCAGUCGAGAAUCAUUCGCAAUGCACGAAAGUGUGACGAUGCGACGCCGCGUGGGGGAUGAAGGCCUUCGGGUUGUAAACCCCUGUCAUGAGGGACCAACGAGCCGGCCGUGAACAGCGGCCGGAAGUGAGUGUACCUCAAGAGGAAGCCACGGCUAACUCUGUGCCAGCAGCCGCGGUAAUACAGAGGUGGCGAGCGUUGUUC
rnacentral:rRNA from 1 species